UACGUAGGGGGCUAGCGUUGUCCGGAAUCAUUGGGCGUAAAGCGCGUGUAGGCGGUCCGGUAAGUCCGCUGUGAAAGUCGGGGGCUCAACCCUCGGAUGCCGGUGGAUACUGUCGGGCUUGAGUACGGAAGAGGCGAGUGGAAUUCCUGGUGUAGCGGUGAAAUGCGCAGAUAGUCAGGAGGAACACCAAUUGCGAAGGCAGCUCGCUGGGACGUUACUGACGCUGAGACGCGAAGCGUGGGAGCAAACAGG
rnacentral:rRNA from 1 species